rnacentral:rRNA from 1 species
UGCGUAGGCGGUUCUUUAAGUCAGGGGUGAAAGACGGUAGCUUAACUAUCGCAGUGCCUUUGAUACUGAAGAACUUGAAUACACUUGAGGUAGGCGGAAUGUGACAAGUAGCGGUGAAAUGCAUAGAUAUGUCACAGAACACCAAUUGCGAAGGCAGCUUACUAAAGUGUCAUUGACGCUGAGGCACGAAAGCGUGGGGAUCAAACAGGAUUAGAUACCCUGGUAGUCCACGCCCUAAACGAUGAAUACUCGAUGUUGGCGAUAUACGGUCAGCGUCUAAGCGAAAGCGUUAAGUAUUCCACCUGGGGAGUACGCCCGCAAGGGUGAA